GAAUCUCAAUAAGCAAAUGUCUUUUUGUGUGCUCAAUAUAGUCUUAUUUCCUCCUCCAGGCAAAAAUGGACUGUUUGGUGAUGGAGACUGAGCAGAGGUGGGCUAAAAGGAAUGGAAGGAGACUAACUGGUGAAGAAGGAGCAAAGAGUGAGGCACAGUGACUACAUUCAUCAACAUUUAGAGAUAAUUCUUCAGAAGCAAGAUGGUGGACUGGAGGGCUCCACUAAUUGUCCCUCCAACAAGGACACCAAUUUAAGAUGUAUACACACACAAAAGCACCUUCAUAAGAACCAAUCAUCAUGUGAGUA
rnacentral:lncRNA from 10 species